GACAGAGGGUGCAAACGUUGCUCGGAAUUACUGGGCGUAAAGCGCGUGUAGGUGGAUUGGUGUGUCAGAUGUGAAAGCCCUGGGCUCAACCCAGGAACUGCACCUGAAACUACCAGUCUUGAGUGGUGGAGAGGGAAGUGGAAUUCCUGGUGUAGAGGUGAAAUUCGUAGAUAUCAGGAGGAACACCAGUGGCGAAGGCGGCUCACUGGCCCAUAACUGACGCUGAGGCACGAAAGCGUGGGGAGCAAACAGG
rnacentral:rRNA from 1 species